rfam:Schistosoma curassoni strain Dakar, Senegal genome assembly, scaffold: SCTD_scaffold0002019
AUCCGUCUGACGAGUCCCACAUAGGCCGAAACGCGCUUCCUCGAU